GCGGUUUUGAGGCUCUAUUUUUUGGUUUAUAAUAAAAAAGGAACAUAAAGGCUUAAGAGGAAGAAAACAAAAAGAUGUGGUCGAGGAUUUACUGGCACAACCGGUCGAGAAAUGGUUUCGAAACUACAUCUUGAGAGGAUUGACAGAGCACAGUGGUGUGGCCGAACCCUCUCCGAUACCAUGAAAUCAUAUUUUUCCGAGCUCCAUGCCAAUUGUUCUCCAGUCCCGACUUAUAUUAAGCAAAAAUAUCACUUCAAUAUCAGUGUUCAGGAAAUGAUAAAAGAAGUAUUCUACAAUAAGGAGAUGUUACGACUAAACAACACCAUCUCUAAUUGGAAGAAACAGGGGAUGCUCAAGGGUGACGACACAAGACUCAUGGUCAUGAAUGUUUACAUGGUUUUUAGUUUUUGGUUUUUGGUUUUUGGGUUAUGGUUUUUGAUUUUUAGAUUUAGAUUUUAAAAUUUUAGUUUUUGAUUUUGCUGUAGAUUUUGGUUUUUUUUAAAACUUG